UUAAGUUAUUAAGGGCGCACGGUGGAUGCCUUGGCACUAGAAGCCGAUGAAGGACGUUACUAACGACGAUAUGCUUUGGGGAGCUGUAAGUAAGCUUUGAUCCAGAGAUUUCCGAAUGGGGAAACCCAGCAUGAGUUAUGUCAUGUUAUCGAUAUGUGAAUACAUAGCAUAUCAGAAGGCACACCCGGAGAACUGAAACAUCUUAGUACCCGGAGGAAGAGAAAGAAAAUUCGAUUCCCUUAGUAGCGGCGAGCGAAACGGGAAGAGCCCAAACCAACAAGCUUGCUUGUUGGGGUUGUAGGACACUCUAUACGGAGUUACAAAGGACGACAUUAGACGAAUCAUCUGGAAAGAUGAAUCAAAGAAGGUAAUAAUCCUGUAGUCGAAAAUGUUGUCUCUCUUGAGUGGAUCCUGAGUACGACGGAGCACGUGAAAUUCCGUCGGAAUCUGGGAGGACCAUCUCCUAAGGCUAAAUACUCUCUAGUGACCGAUAGUGAACCAGUACCGUGAGGGAAAGGUGAAAAGCACCCCGGAAGGGGAGUGAAAUAGAACCUGAAACCGUGUGCUUACAAGUAGUCAGAGCCCGUUAAUGGGUGAUGGCGUGCCUUUUGUAGAAUGAACCGGCGAGUUACGAUUUGAUGCAAGGUUAAGCAGUAAAUGUGGAGCCGUAGCGAAAGCGAGUCUGAAUAGGGCGUUUAGUAUUUGGUCGUAGACCCGAAACCAGGUGAUCUACCCUUGGUCAGGUUGAAGUUCAGGUAACACUGAAUGGAGGACCGAACCGACUUACGUUGAAAAGUGAGCGGAUGAACUGAGGGUAGCGGAGAAAUUUCAAUCGAACCUGGAGAUAGCUGGUUCUCUCCGAAAUAGCUUUAGGGCUAGCCUCAAGUGAUGAUUAUUGGAGGUAGAGCACUGUUUGGACGAGGGGCCCCUCUCGGGUUACCGAAUUCAGACAAACUCCGAAUGCCAAUUAAUUUAACUUGGGAGUCAGAACAUGGGUGAUAAGGUCCGUGUUCGAAAGGGAAACAGCCCAGACCACCAGCUAAGGUCCCAAAAUAUAUGUUAAGUGGAAAAGGAUGUGGCGUUGCCCAGACAACUAGGAUGUUGGCUUAGAAGCAGCCAUCAUUUAAAGAGUGCGUAAUAGCUCACUAGUCGAGUGACACUGCGCCGAAAAUGUACCGGGGCUAAACAUAUUACCGAAGCUGUGGAUUGUCCUUUGGACAAUGGUAGGAGAGCGUUCUAAGGGCGUUGAAGCAUGAUCGUAAGGACAUGUGGAGCGCUUAGAAGUGAGAAUGCCGGUGUGAGUAGCGAAAGACGGGUGAGAAUCCCGUCCACCGAUUGACUAAGGUUUCCAGAGGAAGGCUCGUCCGCUCUGGGUUAGUCGGGCCCUAAGCUGAGGCCGACAGGCGUAGGCGAUGGAUAACAGGUUGAUAUUCCUGUACCACCUAUAAUCGUUUUAAUCGAUGGGGGGACGCAGUAGGAUAGGCGAAGCGUGCGAUUGGAUUGCACGUCUAAGCAGUAAGGCUGAGUAUUAGGCAAAUCCGGUACUCGUUAAGGCUGAGCUGUGAUGGGGAGAAGACAUUGUGUCUUCGAGUCGUUGAUUUCACACUGCCGAGAAAAGCCUCUAGAUAGAAAAUAGGUGCCCGUACCGCAAACCGACACAGGUAGUCAAGAUGAGAAUUCUAAGGUGAGCGAGCGAACUCUCGUUAAGGAACUCGGCAAAAUGACCCCGUAACUUCGGGAGAAGGGGUGCUCUUUAGGGUUAACGCCCAGAAGAGCCGCAGUGAAUAGGCCCAAGCGACUGUUUAUCAAAAACACAGGUCUCUGCUAAACCGUAAGGUGAUGUAUAGGGGCUGACGCCUGCCCGGUGCUGGAAGGUUAAGAGGAGUGGUUAGCUUCUGCGAAGCUACGAAUCGAAGCCCCAGUAAACGGCGGCCGUAACUAUAACGGUCCUAAGGUAGCGAAAUUCCUUGUCGGGUAAGUUCCGACCCGCACGAAAGGCGUAACGAUUUGGGCACUGUCUCAACGAGAGACUCGGUGAAAUCAUAGUACCUGUGAAGAUGCAGGUUACCCGCGACAGGACGGAAAGACCCCGUGGAGCUUUACUGUAGCCUGAUAUUGAAAUUCGGCACAGCUUGUACAGGAUAGGUAGGAGCCUUUGAAACGUGAGCGCUAGCUUACGUGGAGGCGCUGGUGGGAUACUACCCUAGCUGUGUUGGCUUUCUAACCCGCACCACUUAUCGUGGUGGGAGACAGUGUCAGGCGGGCAGUUUGACUGGGGCGGUCGCCUCCUAAAAGGUAACGGAGGCGCUCAAAGGUUCCCUCAGAAUGGUUGGAAAUCAUUCAUAGAGUGUAAAGGCAUAAGGGAGCUUGACUGCGAGACCUACAAGUCGAGCAGGGUCGAAAGACGGACUUAGUGAUCCGGUGGUUCCGCAUGGAAGGGCCAUCGCUCAACGGAUAAAAGCUACCCCGGGGAUAACAGGCUUAUCUCCCCCAAGAGUUCACAUCGACGGGGAGGUUUGGCACCUCGAUGUCGGCUCAUCGCAUCCUGGGGCUGUAGUCGGUCCCAAGGGUUGGGCUGUUCGCCCAUUAAAGCGGUACGCGAGCUGGGUUCAGAACGUCGUGAGACAGUUCGGUCCCUAUCCGUCGUGGGCGUAGGAAAUUUGAGAGGAGCUGUCCUUAGUACGAGAGGACCGGGAUGGACAUACCUCUGGUGUACCAGUUGUCGUGCCAACGGCAUAGCUGGGUAGCUAUGUGUGGACGGGAUAAGUGCUGAAAGCAUCUAAGCAUGAAGCCCCCCUCAAGAUGAGAUUUCCCAACUUCGGUUAUAAGAUCCCUCAAAGAUGAUGAGGUUAAUAGGUUCGAGGUGGAAGCAUGGUGACAUGUGGAGCUGACGAAUACUAAUCGAUCGAAGACUUAAUCAA
rnacentral:rRNA from 1 species